rnacentral:rRNA from 1 species
CAGUAGCCGCGGGAAUACGUAGGGUGCGAGCGUUAAUCGGAAUUACUGGGCGUAAAGCGUGCGCAGGCGGUUGUGUAAGACAGGUGUGAAAUCCCCGGGCUUAACCUGGGAACUGCGCUUGUGACUGCACAGCUAGAGUAUGGCAGAGGGGGGUGGAAUUCCACGUGUAGCAGUGAAAUGCGUAGAGAUGUGGAGGAACACCGAUGGCGAAGGCAGCCCCCUGGGCCAAUACUGACGCUCAUGCACGAAAGCGUGGGGAGCAAACAGGAUUAGAUACCCGCGUAGUCCCUGUCUCUUAUAC